UUGCAAUGAUGAAAGGGAUUUCUUCACCUGAUGUAACCUUGAUGUCAACCAAUCUUUGACAUUCAACAUGGCUGAGCAAG